AUACGAAGGGGGCAAGCGUUGUUCGGAAUAACUGGGCGUAAAGCGCACGUAGGCGGAAUGUUAAGUUAGAGGUGAAAUCCCAGGGCUCAACCCUGGAACGGCCUUUAAUACUGGCAAUCUAGGGACCGAGAGAGGUGAGUGGAAUUCCGAGUGUAGAGGUGAAAUUCGUAGAUAUUCGGAGGAACACCAGUGGCGAAGGCGGCUCACUGGCUCGGUACUGACGCUGAGGUGCGAAAGCGUGGGGAGCAAACAGGAUUAGAUACCCUAGUAGUCC
rnacentral:rRNA from 1 species